CUACGUAGGGGACGAGCGUUGUCCGGAAUUACUGGGCGUAAAGGGCGCGCAGGCGGAUAUUUAAGUCAGCUGUAAAAGGCAUGAGCUCAACUCAUGUAUGCGGUUGAAACUGGGUAUCUAGAGUGCUGGAGAGGUAGGCGGAAUUCCCGGUGUAGCGGUGAAAUGCGUAGAUAUCGGGAAGAACACCAGUGACGCAGUCGGCUUACUGGUCAGCAACGGACGCUGAGGCGCGAUAGCCAGGGGAGCGAACGGGAUUAGAUACCCCGGUAGUCCUCGCCGUAAACGAUGUAUGCUGGGUGUGGGAGUAGCGAUACCUCCGUGCCGAAGUUAACGCGAUAAGCAUACCGCCUGGGGAGUACGGUCGCAAGAUUGAAACUCAAAUGAAUUGACGGGG
rnacentral:rRNA from 1 species